GCUAGUAAGUACGUAGACCUGUUAGAUCGUACGGCAGCAGAGAACACGUGGACGUUGUGAGUGACUUCUUCCAGAACACAGACGUUAUGUCGGCAGGCGAAGCACGUAGAAGUUAGCGAUCCUUUCCAGAUAGACAGGCAUUGGCACCAAAGAAUUUUAUACAGCGGAUACAUCCUCAAUAAUUCUUGUUUUAAGGCUCAAGGAAUAUAUUCAACAGAACAGAUGUGACAUUCCGUAUAUAAAUCUAAUGCAAAUUACAGGGAAAAAUUUAAUUUUUUUCUGAACACAUUCACAGCAAUAAUUCUUCUGUUGAUUGUCUGGAAUGUGGACAAGAUGACUUUACAUUUGAAUUAAAUUGAGACAAAGUUAAAAAGGAGUUUGUACAUCAAUCUACAUAUUGCUAACGACCACAGUAGAAGAAAUAUUUAACAGGAAUAAAAUAUAGAAAUCUAAAUAAGAUUAACACCUCAGUAGAGCAUGAGAAAAG